GGGGUGCUAAUCUCAGAAAACCGAUCGUAGUCCGGAUUGUUGUCUGCAACUCGACAGCAUGAAGUCGGAAUCGCUAGUAAUCGCGGAUCAGAAUGUCGCGGUGAAUACGUUCCCGGCCUUGUACACACCGCCCGUCACACCAUGGGAGUGGGUUUUACCAGAAGUAGUUAGUCUGACCGUAAGGGGGACGAUUACCACGGUAGGAUUCAUGACUGGGGUGAAGUCGUAACAAGGUAGCCGUAUCGGAAGGUGCGGCUGGAUCACCUCCUUUCUAG
rnacentral:rRNA from 1 species